rnacentral:lncRNA from 1 species
CUAGCCUUACACCUUUAAUCACUUAACUUACAACUCAACAUCAUUUAUAAAACUAUUCCAAAGGUGCAUAUUGUCUACCCAUAUUUCCUUAAUUCAACACUAAAUAAUUCUAUACAACAACUCCCAGACUUGUCCAUACUAGAAGAUUCAAGAAUGAAAUCUAGGAAUACACGACACUCAUACACAUCAUACCUUAUCUAACAACAUGCUACCUCGGGGUUCAACAUAUUCUUAUAUACUCACGCUUUUAUCCACU